CUUCUCGUGGUAUACUGCGAAACACGCCUGUCUACUGAGUAGGAGUCGUGAGUUCGUCUCUCACCGAGAGGA
rfam:Aedes albopictus isolate Foshan contig104176, whole genome shotgun sequence.